UACGUAGGUGGCAAGCGUUGUCCGGAUUUACUGGGUGUAGAGGGCGUGCAGCCGGGCUGACAAGUCAGAUGUGAAAUCCCGCGGCUCAACCGCGGAACUGCAUUUGAAACUGUCAGUCUUGAGUACCGGAGAGGUCAUCGGAAUUCCUUGUGUAGCGGUGAAAUGCGUAGAUAUAAGGAAGAACACCAGUGGCGAAGGCGGAUGACUGGACGGCAACUGACGGUGAGGCGCGAAAGCGUGGGGAGCAAACAGG
rnacentral:rRNA from 1 species